UUUAUUUUGAAAAAUAACUCAAUAAUAAUUUUAAAAAAAAUGCGUCGAAAUGUGUUAUGCGCCCAAAUGUCUCUCUUCGAAAUUAUCGCGUCGAAAUGACGUGACAUCCAAAAUUGUAUACUUUAUGUAAACAAAAGAAAGAAAAAUAUGGGGUCUAACCUAUCUACGAGUAUACACACCUAAGUGAAAUAUCACCUAUAUGUAUUAUAAAUUGUUUUUUUAACAGAAAAUAUGUUGUAAACGAUUUCAAUUUUCAGGCAUUUUAUGCAAGG